AUACGGAGGAUGCAAGCGUUAUCCGGAUUUAUUGGGUUUAAAGGGUGCGUAGGCGGGACUGUAAGUCAGGGGUGAAAUACUGCAGCUUAACUGUAGCAUUGCCUUUGAAACUGCCGUUCUUGAGUACAGUUGAGGUAGGCGGAAUGUGGUGUGUAGCGGUGAAAUGCAUAGAUAUACCACAGAACGCCGAUUGCGAAGGCAGCAUACUAAGCUGUUACUGACGCUGAGGCACGAAAGCGUGGGGAUCAAACAGGAUUAGAUACCCUGGUAGUCCACGCUGUAAACGAUGAUUACUGGUUGUUAGCGAUAUAUAGCUAGUGACUGAGCGAAAGCAUUAAGUAAUCCACCUGGGGAGUACGUCGGCAACGAUGAAACUCAAAUGAAUUGGCGGGG
rnacentral:rRNA from 1 species